UGGUAGUCCAGACCGUAAACGGUGGGCACUAGUUGUGGGAACCUUCCACGGUUUCUGCGACGCAGCUAACGCAUUAAGUGCCCCGCCUGGGGAGUACGAUCGCAAGAUUAAAACUCAAAGGAAUUGACGGGGCCCCGCACAAGCAGCGGAGCAUGCGGCUUAAUUCGACGCAACGCGAAGAACCUUACCAAGGCUUGACAUAUAGGGAAAAGUGGCAGAGAUGUCAUGUCCGCAAGGGCUCUAUACAGGUGGUGCAUGGUUGUCGUCAACUCGUGUCGUGAGAUGUUGGGUUAAGUCCCGCAACGAGCGCAACCCUCGUUCUGUGUUGCCAGCAUUUAGUUGGGGACUCACAGAAGACUGCCGGGGUUAACUCGGAGGAAGGUGGGGAUGACGUCAAAUCAUCAUGCCCCUUAUGUCUUGGGCUGCACGCAUGCUACAAUGGCCGGUACAGAGGACUGCAAUACCGUAAGGUGGAGCGAAUCCCAAAAAGCCGGUCUCAGUUCGGAUUGAGGUCUGCAACUCGACCUCAUGAAGUUGGAGUUGCUAGUAAUCGUAGAUCAGCAUCGCUACGGUGAAUACGUUCCCGGGGCUUGUACACGCCGCCCGUCACGUCACGAAAGUCGGUAACACCCAAAGUCAGUGGCCCAAC
rnacentral:rRNA from 1 species